rnacentral:misc_RNA from 1 species
GUUCACACCCACUCCCUGUUCGGCUCUCUGGGUCUCGGACGGACAGACAGACAGACCGACACAUCUCUUUUCCACUCUGCCACCAGUCCAUCGCCGAUUUCUACAGUCAGAGUGAGAGAGAGAGAGAGAGAGAGAGAGAGAAUGAGCGGCACCCUUGCGAUCUCCCAGGAUGCGUUCGACGAGCUGGUGAAAGAGAACAUGGAAGACCUCGGCAUGGACCCGGUUGAAGCCCUCCAAGACGCCAUCCAGACCCUUCCUCUCCAAGGCGUUGAUCUCUCUGGUAUAGUGACGUGCGUUCCUGGAGAGAGUAGUGCAAAAGACAACCCAGUGAUUCAUUGUUUGGAAAGAUUGAACGAGCCGG